UACGUAGGGUGCGAGCGUUACUCGGAAUUACUGGGCGUAAAGCGUGCGCAGGCGGUUCGUUGUGUCGGCGGUGAAAUCCCCGGGCUCAACCUGGGAAUGGCCGUUGAAACUGGCGAACUGGAGUGUGGCAGAGGGGGGUGGAAUUCCGCGUGUAGCAGUGAAAUGCGUAGAGAUGCGGAGGAACACCGAUGGCGAAGGCAGCCCCCUGGGCUGACACUGACGCUCAGGCACGAAAGCGUGGGGAGCAAACAGG
rnacentral:rRNA from 1 species